AGUGGCUGGGUAGAGGGAAGUCUGGGCUUCUCUGCUUAGGCUGCUGCCCCCGCAACCCGACCUCGGAUAAGCGGAAGGAGGAGGGAUGGAAUGGUCGUUGAAUGUUUUUUUUUCUUUUGACAAAAUCUAAUCUUAGACCUCAUGAUUAGAUUUUGCUCACAAGCUUGGCAAUUUUAUAGUAAUUGUAACCCGUUACCUAAACAAGUUACGAGAACCUUUUUUUUUAUAUUCAACGUCAGACGACGCCUCAAUUACUUCAGGAAGCAUUGGAGAUAGUCAAACAUCGCAGGUCCAACCUCAAUUUAUAAUGUAUUUUUAGACCACACGCCAUGUAAAAUACAUACUUUGCGCUCACGUUACAAAAUUGUUAAUAUUUUUUUGUUGAAUAACCAAGCGUUUUAAUGCACUUUUGCUUAGACAUUAAACGACUUACCUGAAGUAGACGCCACAGUCCUCUUAACUGUAUUUGAGAGCGGUUUUUAUAUUCCGUUUUUUACACGCCAAGUUAUAUUUCAUGUGUUGAUAUUCCAAAUGCUGCAAGACGGCGUUGUCAGUGACAUCAUGGAUUUACCAUCGCGUGCGUGUUACCAAACAUGUUGUGUAACGUUACCGCCAACCAGCCAUUGAACAACGCUGCGAAGAUAUCGCGAGAUUUUCCAGGUGACCCUUGCCAAAGGCCUCGUACCUGACUGCCCCCUGGCCAGGGAUACGGUGAAGACCUCAACGGUGGAACAGGCGGGGGAUGAUUGCUAACCCCAUGGUGCAUCACAACGGCUGGGAUGGCGGAUGAAGGCUGCAGCAGAAAAGGGUCCCCAGUCCUCUUGGACUCCAUGCCACUGGAUCCUGACCCAGUGGUGACUGUCUGUGCACCAGUCUCCCCACAUCAAAAAAUAUCACGCACAAGCAUCCUCCAUAAAGGGAUACUCCCCUACCAGGAGGACCGUUAACUCGCUUCGAUGAUGACAAUGUAAAUAGUUAUGAAAAUAGAGAAAAAUCAUUGGAUGAGAAGGUGCGUCCACACCUUUGUGGGGGCAAAAAAGUAUUUAGUCAGCAAGUUCUCCCACUUAAAAUGAUGACAGAGGUCUGUAAUUUUCAUCAUAGGUACACUUCAACUGUGAGAGACAGAAUGUGGGGAAAAAAUUCACAUUGUAGGAAUUUUAAAGAAUUUAUUUGUAAAUUAUGGUAGAAAAUAAGUAUUUGGUCAACCAUUCAAAGCUCUCACUGAUGGAUGGAGGUUUUGGCUCAAAAUCUCACGAUACAUGGCCCCAUUCAUUCUUCCCUUAACACGGAUCAAUCGUCCUGUCCCCUUAGCAGAAAAACAGCCCCAAAGCAUGAUGUUUCCACCCCCAUGCUUCACAGUAGGUGUGGUGUUCUUGGAAUGCAACUCAGUAUUCUUCUUCCUCCAAACACCACGAGUUGAGUUUAUACCAAAAAGUUCUAUUUUGGUUUCAUCUGACCACAUGACAUUCUCCCAAUCCUCUGCUGUAUCAUCCAUGUAUCCAUUUUGGUAUAAACUCACAUUCUGUCUCUCACAGUUGAAGUGUACCUAUGAUGAAAAUUACAGACCUCUGUCGUCAUUUUAAGUGGAGAACUUGCACAAUCGCUGGCUGACUAAAUACUUCUUUGCCCCACUGUAUGUUGUAUCUGCUGAUGUAAGUUAUGUUAAGUUGUGAAAAUAAAAAUACAGAUACCGAUACAAA